rnacentral:rRNA from 1 species
AGUGAACGCUGGCGGUAGGCCUAACACAUGCAAGUCGAACGGCAGCACAGUAAGAGCUUGCUCUUACGGGUGGCGAGUGGCGGACGGGUGAGGAAUACAUCGGAAUCUACUUUUUCGUGGGGGAUAACGUAGGGAAACUUACGCUAAUACCGCAUACGACCUACGGGUGAAAGCAGGUGAUCUUCGGACCUUGCGCGUUUGAAUGAGCCGAUUUCGGAUUAGCUAGUUGGCGGGGUAAAGGCCCACCAAGGCGACGAUCCGUAGAUGGUCUGAGAGGAUGAUCAGCAACACUGGAACUGAGACACGGUCCAGACUCCUACGGGAGGCAGCAGUGGGGAAUAUUGGACAAUGGGCGCAAGCCUGAUCCAGCAAUACCGCGUGGGUGAAGAAGGCCUUCGGGUUGUAAAGCCCUUUUGUUGGGAAAGAAAAGCAGCAGGUUAAUACCCCGCUGUUCUGACGGUACCCAAAGAAUAAGCACCGGCUAACUUCGUG